CAGUUACCAAGUCUUAAAACAAUUUCAGAUGAGUAAUUUCUCAUCACAGCCCCUCCUUGUUCUCUGGGGCCCAAAGGCAGGUCAAAGGAAAAAGAGGCCGCCUUUCUAAAAAGGUAAAGUAGGAUUCAUCCAUUCAAAUGUCAAAUCCUUAUCCUUCCCACUCAUCAUUCCACAUCUUGCAAUUAUUUUAGUGGAAUACCAACCCCACACGCUUAUCUCCACGCAUGCCUGAUUCCCAUACCAUCCCACCCCAUUCCCAACCUGGGAUGGAUUUCUAGGAGCGUUGGAGAACGGUCUGCCCCUUAAAAAACUAGCAGUCUCGAACUUUAGGGAUUUGGGGGUGUUAUUAUUGCAAUUAUCGAUCUCCAUGCCUCUGAGCAAAUGGUGUGUGGCACAUGGAUCUAGCGUUAUAAACUCCUGUCAAUCAAAUGAGAACGGGCUCGCUUUUGUUGAUAGUCAUCUGAAUUUUCUAGUACAUAUUAUGUCUCUUAACACAUGUAGACUAAUAUUUUUAAGUAACAAAUAAUGGUCUGAUCACAAUCAUCGAGGGCCAUUCGACCUAUAUGCUGUCUCGAAGACCAUGCAAGAAUCUUUUGGAAUGCUUGUUGGAUCCUGUCUAAUUUGGGUCCCCUUUCGAGAAGCCAACCGAUGGUCAAUUGGCCACCGGCAACAUCAGAAGCCAACCAACGGUGUCCAAGCCACCGCCAAAAGAGUUUUCAAAAGGUGUGCUCGAGAAGUAACCGAGUUCAUCGC
rnacentral:lncRNA from 1 species